CCCAUAGCACACUUGGGCUUUUACUGCUGCCUUUUGUAUUUCUCAAGUCACAUCUAUUAAAACCUCUCCACUGUGUAAGCUCUGUACCACCUCUGCAUCUUACUCCCUGAAGAUAACUUCAUCUCUACAGUACAGAGAUACGUAGAAGCACUGGGAUCAAACUCUCUUAACUCUCUGAACUCAUAAACUUACCUGGAGUUGAAGUGAUUCCUGCCUGCUUUGUACCUGUCACAAUGGAAUGUCUUCACAUCAGGCUAAUCGUUCUUCUAGCCAUGGCGUGAUUCCAUCAACCCCAACCUUCUCAGAGGGACAAGAACCUUGUGCAAGAUCCAAAACAACAGUAUUUAUCAGCAUCUUGGAAAUUUCCCAGGGGGGUUAUCCCUGUCUAUUGCCAAUUCUGGCUUGGUGCAAAGUUGGGGAAUUCUGGGACUGGAGGGAAGCUGGAAAUAGGAGAAUGUGUGUGAAGCUCCUCCAUGCAAUCAGGAGUGUCCUGGGGUGCCUUGGGAACGCAUUGAAGAAAUAACGCUAUCAGCUGCGAGUCCCCUGGAAUGUCUCACUCACCACUGUAUCAUUUAGCAAAAUGCCCGGUAACAGCUGGAGCUCAGUAAAUGCUCACUGAAUGAA